rnacentral:rRNA from 1 species
GGAAGUAAAAGUCGUAACAAGGUUUCUGUAGGUGAACCUGCAGAAGGAUCAUUAGUGAAAGCAAGGGCCAGCCAUACGGACGGCGCUACUCGCGUACAACGUCUCUGGCGCCCAACUUUACACAAUAUCCACAAACCCGUGUGCACCGUUUGGAUGAGUUGGACCUCGCAAGAGGCUCGGCUCUCCAAUCCAUUUCUACCAAACUCGUAUGGUUUGUAUGAACGUGGAAAUCGUUGGACCGUAACUGGCCAACAACCAAUAAUACAACUUUCGACAACGGAUCUCUUGGUUCUCCCAUCGAUGAAGAACGCAGCGAAACGCGAUAGGUAAUGUGAAUUGCAGAAUUCCGUGAAUCAUCGAAUCUUUGAACGCACCUUGCGCUCCAUGGUAUUCCGUGGAGCAUGCCUGUUUGAGUGCCGUGAAUUCUCUCUCCCCAAGCGGUUGCGAUUGCACUGCUUUGGCGGACGAGGUUGGAUGGGUGCUUCUGCCUGUUUCGCAAGAAACAGGCUCGCCCGAAAUGCAUUAGCGCCUUUGGGACACACUCUGCAAACCGCUCUGAAAGGGAGGGCGGCAGAGGGGAUGGAGGAACUCCGCCCGUCAGCUAUACCAAACUUUGCCCCAGGCAAGCGCAUGGCAUGAUACGUCAUUUGCUGUGUGUGCGUCCUGAGGCAAGGGGCCGAUGUGGUGCCUUUGUCACUCUGUGGGUGUGUUGGUGCGCUACCAAUCCUGCGUGGAGGCUGGUCUGUGCGCAAGCAUGGAGCAGUUCUUGUGAACGCAUUCCCUUUUUUCAUUUCUGGUCUCAAAUCAGGUAGGAUCACCCGCUGAACUUAAGCAUAUCAUUAAGCGGAGGA